CCUACGGGUGGCAGCAGUGAGGAAUAUUGGUCAAUGGGCGCGAUCCUGAACCAGCCAAGUCGCGUGAGGGAAGACGGCCCUACGGGUUGUAAACCUCUUUUGCCGGGGAGCAACACGCGCCACGUGUGGCGCCACUGAGAGUACCCGGAGAAAAAGCAUCGGCUAACUCCGGGCCAGCAGCCGCGGUAAUACGGGGGAUGCCAGGGUUAUCCGGAUUUAUUGGGUUUAAGGGUUGCGUAGCCGGAGCGUUAGGUCAGUGGUCAAAUUGAGGGGCUCAACCCCUUCCCGCCAUUGAAACUGGCGCUCUUGAGUGGAAGAGAAGUAUGCGGAAUGCGUGGUGUAGCGGUGAAAGGCAUAGAUAUCACGCAGAACCCCGAUUGCGAAGGCAGCAUGCCGGCUUCCGACUGACGCUGAAGCACGAAAGCGUGGGGAUCGAACAGGAUUAGAUACCCCUGUAGUC
rnacentral:rRNA from 1 species